rnacentral:rRNA from 1 species
ACAGGAUUAGAUACCCUGGUAGUCCACGCCGUAAACGAUGUCGACUUGGAGGCUGUUCCCUUGAGGAGUGGCUUCCGGAGCUAACGCGUUAAGUCGACCGCCUGGGGAGUACGGCCGCAAGGUUAAAACUCAAAUGAAUUGACGGGGGCCCGCACAAGCGGUGGAGCAUGUGGUUUAAUUCGAUGCAACGCGAAGAACCUUACCUACUCUUGACAUCCAGAGAACUUUCCAGAGAUGGAUUGGUGCCUUCGGGAACUCUGAGACAGGUGCUGCAUGGCUGUCGUCAGCUCGUGUUGUGAAAUGUUGGGUUAAGUCCCGCAACGAGCGCAACCCUUAUCCUUUGUUGCCAGCGAUUCGGUCGGGAACUCAAAGGAGACUGCCGGUGAUAAACCGGAGGAAGGUGGGGAUGACGUCAAGUCAUCAUGGCCCUUACGAGUAGGGCUACACACGUGCUACAAUGGCGCAUACAAAGAGAAGCGACCUCGCGAGAGCAAGCGGACCUCAUAAAGUGCGUCGUAGUCCGGAUCGGAGUCUGCAACUCGACUCCGUGAAGUCGGAAUCGCUAGUAAUCGUGGAUCAGAAUGCCACGGUGAAUACGUUCCCGGGCCUUGUACACACCGCCCGUCACACCAUGGGAGUGGGUUGCAAAAGAAGUAGGUAGCUUAACCUUCGGGAGGGCGCUUACCACUUUGUGAUUCAUGACUGGGGUGAAGUCGUAACAAGGUAAC